ensembl:lincRNA
GAGGGGACGGGGGGCGGGUAGGACGCCGUCGUGUGCUUCCCGGCGACGUCUCCCGGGAGGCGCAGUUCCUUGCGCCGGGCGCGUCUCCGCGGGCCUCACCUGCAGCGCCUCGGGAGCCCAGGCCUCCUGUCCCUGCGACUAGGGGACGGGCUGCGUGGAGCGGGAAAGCGGUGUGGAGAGCAUAGCCCAAGACAAUGUCAACGUGUGAAACCUGAUAUGUAACCCCCAAGAGUGAAGUGUGAUAUCUAAUCAAACAGAUUGAAUGUGUGACACCCUGUGACGUGUGCAACCCCAAUAGCUAAUCAUACAGCCCCAAUAUGUACGAAGUGAUAAACCCGAACUAGUGCCACACACCCCAAGUUAGAAUAGUAUAAGAGAGAGAGAGAGAGAGAGCAGAAGACCAGCUCGUCCCACUGGACGUCGGGUCCAGCUCGCGGACGCUCAGCUAGAUGAGAUCUCAGAGGAGAGCUCGGAUGCCUGCCCGGAGUGGACCCCUGAAUCGAGGAGGUCAUCCGAUCGACAACCGCAAUCACCAGGAAGGGAGAAACCAAGCCGCGCUCCUCGGACUUGUGCAGCUCUAAUUUUUGUCCAUUGCCAAGCCCAGGGUACGUCCAGAAAGCCUCAGGAACCUCAGGAAAAGCCCGGGAGAGCCCCUGUGCAAGAGCUGAUCAUCAAGCGCCCCGAGGUGAUGGUCUCCGCCCCAUUCAAGGGUCCUGCUUUUCCAAACCACCUGAAGCCAAGGUAGGAGUGGACACCCCUUGCACAGCCUUGCACCACCUUCUGCUUGCAUUUCACAAAAACUGCUCUCCAGAGUACUUCAGAAGCUGGGGCUUUGGAGCCAAUUGCACAUCUUUUUUUUUAAAUUGUUAUUUUUUUCAACCUUUACAUAAAUACAUAAAAAUAUACAUAUUUGUGGGCUAUGUGAUAUUUUGUUACCCAAAUAAGUUGUAGAAUGUGUCAAUCAGGUUAAACAUCUCUACCGUGAACAUUUGUGAUCUAUUUCUCUGUAGUGAAAACCUUCAAAAUCCUGUGCUACAGCGCGGUAAGGCUUCUUACUCCACCUGUAACUUAGUGACACUGCUCAACCACUGGUCAAGCUCGCCCGCCCCUCCAACCUCUCUGAUUCUGGUCUGUUAGUGCCGGGGAAAAGAUGCUGUGAUUGACGAAGAAGCAGCAAGGGCCUGGCGCCGUGGUGCGUGCCCGUCGUCACGGAACUCUGGGAGGCCAAAGCGGGAAGAUCGAAGUUUGAGGCCAGCCUGGUCAACUCAGUGAGACCCUGUUUCCGAAAAUCAAGUAUCUCGGGGGUGCAGCUGAGCCACAGAGCGCUUGCUUCACUCGUGUGAGGCCCUGGGUGCGAUCAGAGUGGGGGCGGGGUGGGGUGUAGGUAGACACACAAGAAUUUCAAUGGCUUGAAGACACUUGCCCCAGGACACUCCGUACCCAGGCAGGAGGCCAGCUUCCCCGGGCUUCAGGUUCCGCCCCCAGGGCACCUGGUUUUUAUGAGAUCUACUUGAUUAAGGCAAACAUACCAUUAGCUCUUUCCAGAAGUUUUGGCCAUUCUCUUGGGGGUUUUGUUGUUGCUGUUGUCGUUACUGGGAAUCAAACUUAGGCCCUUGCGCUUGCCGGGCAGGCGGUGGAACCACUGAGCCAAACCCCCGGCCCUCUCUUGGGAUUUUUAAGGCACCCAGACCUCUUCUAGCACUGGAAAUUGCAGCUUUAUGCCUGUCUGAUCGUACCUGGCUAUUCUGUGAGUUUUAAAAAUUGUAACUGGGCACAGUGGCACAUGCCUGUAAUCCCAGCAUUUGGGAAGCUGAGGCAAGAGGACAGUCACAUGUUCAAGGCCACCAUGGGCUACAUGGUGAGUUCAAGGCCAGCCUGAACUACAUAGUGAGACCCUGUCUCAGAAAAGAAAAGAAUAUUUUUUACCACUUUUAAAAAUUGGUACAUUUUAGAUAUACAUAAUGGUAACAUUCAUCAUAGAGGAUUUGUACCUGUACAUGAGGUAUCGUUUUCCCCAUUCCCCUCCCCACUCCUUCCUUCAAAUCCACUUACCCUCAUUUACUAAAGCUUUGUUUCCAUUUUUCCUUUCUCUUUCUCUCUCUCUCUCUCUCCCUCUCCCUCUCUCUCUCUCCACUCCUC